CGCGCGAGCCUGACGGAGCAUACCGCGUGAGGGAAGAAGGCUUUUGGGUUGUAAACCUCUUUUCUCAGGGAAGAACAAUUGACGGUACCUGGGGAAAUCGCCUCCGCUUACUCCCGGGCCGCCGCCGGGGUUAUUCGGAGGAAGGCAGCGUUUUUCGGUAUUUUUGGGCAUUAAGCCUUCCGCGGGGGCUUUUCUAGUCUGCUGUUAAACGACUGGGCUUAACCUCCAGAAAGGCGGGGAAAUUUGACAACUUAAAGGGCGUAGGGGUAAAAGGAAUUCCCGGGGUUACGGGAAAAUGCCUUAAAAACGGGAAAAACCUCCGGGGCGAAAGCCCUCUUCUGGGCCGCAACUGACCCUUAGGGAACAAAGCUUGGGGAACCAAUGGGAUUAAAUUCCCCCAUUCCCCUACCCCUAAAACGAGGAAUCUAGGGUUGGGUUUGUAUCACCCGAGCCGGGCCUUACUAACCCCUUUAGUUUCCCCGCUGGGGAAUUCCCCACGCAAGUGUGAAAUUCAAGGAAUUGGACGG
rnacentral:rRNA from 1 species